AUGGCACAGGGAGGAUGUGGACCAAACUUGACAGCAGGUCCGGCUGGUUCAGAAGGGAGGUUUUCUUCCCAGCAAGUCCAGGCGAUCUACAGACUUGACCCUGGCUGCCCCUGGGACGGCAGCAAGGGAGAGAAACGGAAUGGGUGGAGCAGGAGGCGGAGGAGGGUCGGGGUGGAGGACUCACCGCAGCACAAGGCAAACCAGACCGCACAGCCUUGCGCCUCGGGCAGGCUUAGCAAUGGGCAGGUCGCUGCGACCGCAACCUCAAGGGUGGAGCAGCCAGCUGGGGCGAGUUCGGAGGCUGAGGGCACCCUCAGGGAUGGGCGGGAAAGCUUCAGGCCAACAGAGAGCGCAGGUGACAAGGUUGUUGAGUUCUUAGCAUGCUUUUGGCCACAUCUGUUCAACAGCCCGGAGAGCAACCCUGGCCAGAGCCUCACACCAAGGAAUUCCUGGACUCAGCUUCUACUGGAAGAAAAAACCCUGGAAGGCAAGAGGACACCGUGGGAGGCGGCAGCACCUUCCUCUCAUUUCCCAGUGUUUCUCCCAUUGUGCUCUUUGUCAGGAGAGGAGACGGUGGGAAGGGAAAAGCUCUCGUCAAGAAGAAUGACAAGAGAAGUGAGGGGGCCUUGUCUCUUCGAAAUCUGGAGUGUAGGAGCGAUUCCUGAGGUGUUCCUGUUUUCCUCUUUCUCAUCUUCACGUAGGGGCAUUGGGGGCUAUGUAUCCAUCGGUGCUCCGGCUGCUUUUCUAGAAACAGGCCUCUUUAGUUCUCAAGUAGAGAAGAGGGAGCUGCAAAGUGAGCUCGAGGCCAGCCUGAACCGCGAACCGCACAGCGAGACCCUGUCCCAGAAAGAAAAAAGAAAAAAAAGAAAGAAAGAAAAGGAUAGAAGAGGACAGUAUUGCACAUGGCAAGGCCCUCAAAGACCUGUAGUUUUGAGGGAGGGCUGUCCUUUGCUUGUUCUCUGCCUGGGUCAGCUCACUGCUGGGGAAUUCGGGUGCAUUCAUAGGCAGCAGCAUGUCAUGCCUACGCCCACGACCCGUGGAGCCUUCUCUGGUGCUGCUCCGUGGCUGGAGGAGACACUGGCACGGUGACCCCUGGGAUCCUCACAGACUGAGGAUUCUGGCCCAUGAGGAGCGAGGUUGGCGCUCAGAAUGACUAUCUGAGGAGUGGGAGCGGGCUUGCACGGCUGAGCCCACUGUGUCCUGGGGCCCUGGGUAAUGCUCACCAUCGCGCAGGAAAGCAGGGAAGACUAGAGGCUCCCUAGGGCUUGGCCUUGUGACCGAACCUCAGCCUGGAGGCGCUCCCUGCUGAAGCGUCAACACCUCUCCUUCGGCUCAGCGCUGCACACAGAGCUGUGGGAAACGAGAGCUGCCGGAAAUGGGAGGUCACCGAAGGUCUGAAGUUCAGUUGAACAAUAAAUGAUAAGGACAAUUUACCAAUUUUAUGAUAAGGACAUAUUUAAACAUUUAAUUGAAGCUAAUAAUAAAACUGAAUGCACUGUUCUCAGAUCAAGCUCAACUCAUUGAGUUUCUCAUGUUAUUAAAAGGAUUAAGGAUUUCCUUAAAAAUAAUAUUUCCUUUGAAGCAGAUGCUGUGUUGACUGGUAGUUAAAUUUUCUGAAUCUUAGACAUUUAGCAUCACUUUAGCUAAUUAGCUGCACUGCUUUAAUUUCCAACUACCGUGCCUUUGAGCUCUGUCUGGCUGCGUUGUGGUUUAUUUCUGGACGACGUCUCUCCCUAAAGGCUCACGUGCUCGUGGGUGGGGCUUCGCGGGUGUGAUCCUCAUCAAUGCAUCAGUCCGCUGAUGAGCUUUGGCUAAACGUGAUGUUGGGGGGAGGCGGGUCACUUCCGUGUUCGAUCGCGCUCUUUCUCUGCUUCCCACCGCCGGGCUAUGCGCUGUUUUUUCUGCCACUCCCCUCUGCCAAACUACCUUACCUUGGAGCCAGUGGACUAUGGAUUGAAAUCUCUACAAACUGUGGGCCAAAAUAAACUUCUCCUUCCUUAAAUUGUGCUUGUCGGGUAUUGUGUCCCGGCGGCCAGAAAGGAACUAAGACAGGCUAUCAUGUUGAUAUUAGUCUAACAGGAAAUUUGCUAAAAGGCCAAUAUGUUGAUUGCCUUGAGAAAGCUGUGGAAUUACCAUAGGUAGUAUUCCCCUCGCUAUAAGUGGGUGACUAUAUAUUGUUCAAACUGAGACACCUCUGAGAAUAACAGGAAGCUACAUUAACCCUUGUUUCAGAACACGGGUAAACUAGGACCUUCUUACCUAUAAGGCAAGUUCUUUUCCUUCCAAGUUAUUUCUCAAAAGAAGGGAGAUAUAGAUUUAAAAAUAUACAUGGCUAUAAACAUAGGUAGUAUUGCAGUUCUCACAAAGUUUCUCAUAAUCUAGGUCAUUUCAAGUUCUUUUUUAAUAAACAAAAAUCACAAAACACUGUAUAAUGAAGAUUCAGUACUCUGAAAUUAUCCAAUUACUGCUAGUUUUACAUUUUUCUAGAAAGCAGAUAAUAGAAAUGAGUUUUUAGAAAGAGAAAUAGAAAUUUGACACAGACUUAGUGAUUAUUCUGGAGAGUAGCCCCUCAAAAUUUCAAAUUCUGAUGUUGCAAACUCUUAAAAAAACAAAAAGGAAAAUGGAAAAAUGAUUGUUUCGUCAACUUACAGGAUAAGUAGAAACUCUUACUAUUGAAAAAGUUUAUGGUUUGGAAGAAAGUUUUCAGAAACAUUAUCAAAUGUGAUUUCAAAAAUGGCUGUGUUCCAAAUUACUGAAGAGUGCUUUGGACAAUUCAGUAAAAGAUAAAAAAUUUGCCAUUGUGAUAAGGGAGACAAUGAAGUUGGAAAAUAUAUGAGGAGUACGAACAAAACCAUUCUGAAAUAUGAUGUUGGGAAACAUUCCAGAUUAAGCAUUAUUUUGUAUAAUAUGAUUAUAAAUAUCAUGUAUAAUUCAGUUAACAAAUUAAAUACUAUGAGUAGACAUUUGAAUAUUUCAUCCAUGUCCUUAAAAAUUUAUAUAGUGUAUUAAAUUGUCCCAAAUCUUUUUUGGAUCUACUUACAAGGAAUCAUUUCUGUGUGUGUGUUUUCUUACAUCUAGGUCAUAGUCUAUUUGUGCUGCUAAAACAUAAUACCUGAGACUGAGUAAUACAUACAGAAGAGAACUUGGUCUCUUACAGUUCUGAGAGCUGGCAGAAUAGAUGAGGGCAUCCAUAGUUCUGGUUGUCUGGUGAGGGUCUUGCCUGUGCUUCCAAGAAGGUGCCUUGAAUGCCAUAUCCUUCAGGGGAGAUGAACUCUGUAUCCUUAUGACGCAGCCAGCAAAAGGGCAAAAGACACAAACUCCAUCAAGUCCUUAUAUAAGGGCCUCUGCUCCCAGGUGUGUAGGUGAAGCCUCAUGACUCAGUCACUCCCAAGAGCCACACCUCCUAACAAUACUGCACUGGGCAUGAAGUGCCAAUAUAAACUACGGUGGGGACAAACCAUUGAAGCCAUAGUGCUAGGCAUAUGUGUACUCACAUAUAGGUCUGUGUUCUGUGUAGGGGUGUCAAGGCAAGUUCCUGAGGUUAAAGCUGAGGGGAGAAGUAGUUCUCCUGACUUCCUGUCUGGGGAGAAAAUUCAUCAGAACACCAGGUAGUAGGAAAAUUUUAAGCCUGUGUGAUAUGUCUUUCUUGUCUUGAGCAUUGUUGCUAUCUUACAGAACCACCAUCACAUAUGCAGUAAGAGAUUGAGUGCAAGCAGGUCCUAAAGAUUGGUAGUUGACUGCUAGAGUUUUUACAGCCAAAAUUCUGUCCUGGCUAUGAUGGAUGGCCAAGAGACAGUUUCUUUCUGUCACAGUUGUCUGAAAGGCAGACUCCAGUGCUAAUUAAUUUGUUGUUAAGGUGUCCUGGAAUCAUUAUUAAAAGCAAGUCACUACGAACCUGCAAAGGAGGCUGUGAUGGCCUGAUGUCUUCUGGUAUCUCAGGAGGGCAGAAUCUGGGGAGGGCUGACAGUCACACUCUUGCACUGCCCAGCUCUGCAACUUCAAGUGAGACUCUUCAGCUUUUCAAGGAAGUUAGAGGGGUUCUUUCCAGAGUGAAUGAUCCCUCUUUUUUAAAAAAUGUAAAUAAAAAGAAAAGGACAACAGUAUUUAAACCAAAUAAAUGAUAUAGAAAACAAAUACGUCAGAAGUAAAAGGAAACAAAAGGCCAAUGUGGGCUAAAGUGAUGAAGGAACCCUGUGAUUUGUGGGCUCUCAGGACAAAAGGAAACCAGGUCUUCCAUUAGUUGUGGACUUCAGCUUUGUAGAUUUGUGAGUAGGAAGUAAACUGAGGGCCUGUCUUAGUUACUUUUCUCUCAUUGCUGAGACAAAAUACCCGAUACCCAACGUUAAAGCAGGAAAGAUUUAUUUAGCUCACAGUUGGUAGAGGUUUUAGUCUAUCAGCUGGCUCUGAGGCAAAGUGGCUUGGCAGGGAGCAACAGUUCAUGGUGGCAGGAGGAUAGCAAAAGCACCAAGAGAAGAAGGAAACAAGCUUCUUUCUGCCCCCUAUAUUGUAUCCAGCCUACCAGGCUGAGGGCAGUGCCAAUCCAAUCAGUGGACUGAUCAUCCACCAUUAAUCCCAGAAUUGCACCAUGAAUCAGUCACACACUCUAGAAUCAUCUACCUCUGAAAAAGCCCUAUGUAAAACUGCCUGAGGCUUUGGAGGGACAUCUAGACCCAAACCACAACAGGGCCUGAGAGGAGCAGUCACUUACUUAACAUUGUACAGUUGCCUGAAGGGGCCUCAGGAACCAAAGGACCUGUCCACUAGAGUCCUAAACCUAUGUCAGGUGUUGUGGAAGGGUUGGGGAGAAGUAAAUCAUCUGUUCUUGAUAGCCUUCCUCUAAACUGUGAAGACUCCAUUCUCAAUUUGUCCCUUUAACGGAACUUCAGAGAUGUUGAGGCACAGGGACCAGGCUUGGGGAUAGGCAAGGGGUGCACAGAUGGGGAACUCGGGGCGCUGAGCUACUGCCAGGAUCCCUGAAGUUAGUUUGCUCACUCCCCUCCUUUUCACUGAGGACCUGCAGAGGUGGUACCAGUUUGGAAGCAUAUGGCUUUGCACUCUUCCUCCUACCUUGCUGUAGUGAUCUGUACCACAAACAGCUGGCUAAUCAGUUAUUGGACUUCAUAGAACUCACUCAAACAACAAGUUUACCAUUGGAAGGCUAUGAGAUACAACUGAGAAACUAGAUUUUACAUCUGCUACCAUCCAGGAGAUUGCAAUUUCUCCACCCCUGAUUUUUUUUUUUUUUUCAGUGCUGGGGAUUGAACCCAGGACUUAGUGCAUACUAGGCAAAUGAACGACAUUCUCAAACCAUUUUUGUGUCUUUAAAAUUGGAACUCACAAGAAAUCAAAUCAUAACAAAUGCUAGUGGGACCUGGAGAAAAAAAAGCAACCCUUCUACAUGUUGGUGGGAAUGUAAACUAGUUCAACCACUGUGGAAAUCAGUAUGGAGAUUCCUCUAACAACAACAAAAAAAGGCACCUAGAAAUUCCAUUUGACCCAGCCAAUC
rnacentral:lncRNA from 1 species